GAUGAACGCUGGCGGCGUGCCUAAUACAUGCAAGUCGAGCGAACAGACGAGGAGCUUGCUCCUCUGACGUUAGCGGCGGACGGGUGAGUAACACGUGGAUAACCUACCUAUAAGACUGGGAUAACUUCGGGAAGCCGGAGCUAAUACCGGAUAAUAUAUUGAACCGCACGGUUCAAUAGUGAAAGACGGUUUUGCUGUCACUUAUAGAUGGAUCCGCGCCGCAUUAGCUAGUUGGUAAGGUAACGGCUUACCAAGGCGACGAUGCGUAGCCGACCUGAGAGGGUGAUCGGCCACACUGGAACUGAGACACGGUCCAGACUCCUACGGGAGGCAGCAGUAGGGAAUCUUCCGCAAUGGGCGAAAGCCUGACGGAGCAACGCCGCGUGAGUGAUGAAGGUCUUCGGAUCGUAAAACUCUGUUAUUAGGGAAGAACAAAUGUGUAAGUAACUAUGCACGUCUUGACGGUACCUAAUCAGAAAGCCACGGCUAACUACGUG
rnacentral:rRNA from 1 species